rnacentral:rRNA from 1 species
GACGAACGCUGGCUGCGUGCUUAACACAUGCAAGUCGAACGGAGUUGAGGAGCUUGCUCCUUAACUUAGUGGCGAACGGGUGAGUAACGCGUGAGGAACCUGCCUUUCAGUGGGGGACAACAGUUGGAAACGACUGCUAAUACCGCAUGAUACUAUCGGGCCGCAUGGUCUGGUAGUCAAAGAUUUAUUGCUGAAAGAUGGCCUCGCGUCUGAUUAGCUAGCUGGUGGGGUAACGGCCCACCAAGGCGACGAUCAGUAGCCGGACUGAGUGGUUGAACGGCCACAUUGGGACUGAGAGACGGCCCAGGCUAGUACGGGAGGAAGAAGUGGGGAAUAUUGGGCAAUGGCCGAAAGCCUGACCCAGCCACGCCGCGUGAAGGAAGAAGGCCGUCGGGUUGUAAACUUCUUUUACCAGGGACGAACACAAUGACGGUACCUGGAGAAAAAGCAACGGCUAACUACGUGCCAGCCGCCGCGGUAACAC